rnacentral:lncRNA from 12 species
AAACGGGAUGUCCAGGAUGUUAUGCCUGGAUACACCUUGGUAUAAGGACAGACUUGGAGAAGAGAUAAAGAGAUGGGCAGAGUGGAUGUCAAACACACAAACUCCAGCCCACAGCCACCCUGCUGACUGCAACCAGGAUCCCAGGGAUAAGGAGAAACCCAGUCUUCAGGAGAGCUGUGACUAUUUCCCUGAGCAGCUCAACUCACCUGCUCCAAGCCAGAGGAACUGUUGGAUUUAUCUGGUUUUAUUCUGCUAGAAGACAUAUUCUAAGAUGUGGAGCAGGGGCGGAGGCAGGAAUGGGUGCUUGCAUCCCAGGAUGCUGCAGAAGAGGCUGGAGAGCUUCUGGGACACCCAUGGAACACUGGCCCUCAAGUGCUGCCAGUGCUCUAAUCCAGGGGUAUUUGAAAUUUCAAUUAUUUAUGUGUUCAUGCUGUGGGUUAAUGCUGACUGACACUAAAACACUGCCUAGAUUUAGCUUCAUAAAAUUUUUAUCCCCACUAUGAACUGCAAGUCUUUCUUCAAUUUCAUUUAAAGGAAACAGAGUAUUGAAAAGCCUACUGAGGAAUUCAUGAGCAACUAGCUACAGCCUCACUUUUCCUCCUAGCCAAAUCCUGGGACUUCGUUACCAUGGCAACACAUCAUAAUUUUAAUUCCCUUCCUGACUGACACUCCAGAGAAACCAAUACAUGUGCUUGCUUUCCUUGCAGUCUGCCAUGCACUUUGUAGUGGGUGUGAAGGUUCACAGCAUUUGCUUCCCA